rnacentral:rRNA from 1 species
GACUGACCGAUAGUGAACCAGUACCGUGAGGGAAAGGCGAAAAGAACCCCGGCGAGGGGAGUGAAAAAGAACCUGAAACCGUGUACGUACAAGCAGUGGGAGCACAGGUUUACCUGUGUGACUGCGUACCUUUUGUAUAAUGGGUCAGCGACUUAUAUUCUGUAGCAAGGUUAACCGUAUAGGGGAGCCGGAGGGAAACCGAGUCUUAAUUGGGCGUUAAGUUGCAGGGUAUAGACCCGAAACCCGGUGAUCUAGCCAUGGGCAGGUUGAAGGUUGGGUAACACUAACUGGAGGACCGAACCGACUAAUGUUGAAAAAUUAGCGGAUGACCUGUGGCUGGGGGUGAAAGGCCAAUCAAACCGGGAGAUAGCUGGUUCUCCCCGAAAGCUAUUUAGGUAGCGCCUCGUGAAUUCAUCUCCGGGGGUAGAGCACUGUUUCGGCUAGGGGGCCAUCCCGGCUUACCAACCCGAUGCAAACUGCGAAUACCGGAGAAUGUUAUCACGGGAGACACACGGCGGGUGCUAACGUCCGUCGUGAAGAGGGAAACAACCCAGACCGCCAGCUAAGGUCCCAAAGUCAUGGUUAAGUGGGAAACGAUGUGGGAAGGCCCAGACAGCCAGGAUGUUGGCUUAGAAGCAGCCAUCAUUUAAAGAAAGCGUAAUAGCUCACUGGUCGAGUCGGCCUGCGCGGAAGAUGUAACGGGGCUAAACCAUGCACCGAAGCUGCGGCAGCGAAC